UACGUAGGGGGCAAGCGUUAUCCGGAAUUACUGGGUGUAAAGGGAGCGUAGGCGGGUUGUUAAGUCAGUUGUGAAAGUUUGCGGCUCAACCGUAAAAUUGCAGUUGAUACUGGCAUCCUUGAGUACAGUAGAGGUAGGCGGAAUUCGUGGUGUAGCGGUGAAAUGCUUAGAUAUCACGAAGAACUCCGAUUGCGAAGGCAGCCUGCUGGACUGUAACUGACGCUGAUGCUCGAAAGUGUGGGUAUCAAACAGG
rnacentral:rRNA from 1 species